rnacentral:rRNA from 1 species
AGAGUUUGAUCCUGGCUCAGAUUGAACGCUGGCGGUAUGCUUAACACAUGCAAGUCGAACGGUAACAGGUCGCUGUGAUCUCUUCGGAGUGAACUUGAUGCUGACGAGUGGCGGACGGGUGAGUAAUACUUAGGAAUCUACCCAGUAGUGGGGGACAACACGACGAAAGUCGUGCUAAUACCGCAUACGCCCUAAGGGGGAAAGUGGAGGAUCUUCGGACUUCACGCUAUUGGAUGAGCCUAAGUCGGAUUAGCUUGUUGGUGAGGUAAUGGCUCACCAAGGCGACGAUCCGUAGCUGGUCUGAGAGGACGAUCAGCCACACUGGGACUGAGACACGGCCCAGACUCCUACGGGAGGCAGCAGUGGGGAAUAUUGGACAAUGGGCGCAAGCCUGAUCCAGCAAUACCGCGUGUGUGAAGAAGGCCUGCGGGUUGUAAAGCACUUUCAGUAGAGAAGAAAAGCUUAGGGUUAAUACCCCUGGGUCUUGACGUAACCUACAGAAGAAGCACCGGCUAACUCCGUGCCAGCAGCCGCGGUAAUACGGGGGGUGCAAGCGUUAAUCGGAAUUACUGGGCGUAAAGCGCGCGUAGGCGGUCUGGUCAGUCGGAUGUGAAAGCCCUGGGCUCAACCUGGGAAUGGCAUUCGAUACUGCCAGACUAGAAUGUGGAAGAGGGAAGUGGAAUUUCCGGUGUAGCGGUGAAAUGCGUAGAUAUCGGAAGGAACACCAGUGGCGAAGGCGGCUUCCUGGUCCAACAUUGACGCUGAGGUGCGAAAGCGUGGGGAGCGAACAGGAUUAGAUACCCUGGUAGUCCACGCCGUAAACGAUGAGAACUAGAUGUCGGGAGGGUUUAGCCUUUCGGUGUCGCAGCUAACGCGUUAAGUUCUCCGCCUGGGGAGUACGGUGGCAACACUAAAACUCAAAGGAAUUGACGG